rnacentral:tRNA from 1 species
GCCUGCGUAGCUCAAUGGAUAGAGCAUCUGUCUUCGGAACAGAGGGUUGGGGGUUCGAAUCCUCCCGCAGGCA